AAACUUUUCUCUCUCAGCUUUGCAUACUGAAACAACUUAGUCGACCACCAAACAGCAGAAAGGAAGCAGCAAUGUGAAGCUGAGGUGUGUAAACUGAGGCAGCCAGGGCCACGCCGCUCUCAGAAACAAGGAGGGAGAGGAGGCCCUGCAUCUGACAAGGCCACUUCUGCACUUUGGGCUGGGCAGUGUCCCUCACCGAGGUAUCGUAUUCUUCUGAUGAGUUCAGUGAAAAUACUGCAUGCUCCCCAAGGAGGAAGAAGACAGAGACAGAACCUUCAGGCCUUGGCAUGGCGGCCAUUUCUACAGUGACUGGGAAGCCACUGCAACAUGCUGGAGUAGAAAGCAGUACCUUAUCUGCCCUCAGCAGCUUUUUUCAUCAAAAUCUAUUCACAGCUACAGCACUGGUCAAAGACUCCACAUCAGUGCCUCUUAGAAAGUAAUACCAACAGAAAGCAGUUUCAUGAGCCUUUCAGUGCCUUGCUGGAGCAUGCAUUGUCAAUGGUGCUGCGCUGUGCAGUGUUGCACCCCUCACCAUGCAGCUGAAGGAAGAGCCAUUUUAAUUACAUGUCAACACCGUGGGGCUGCCAUGGCUCUGACGUUAUCUGGCCACAGCCACCCUGAUCCAUCUGGAUGCUGAGCAUGUGUUGUGUACCCUUUCCCCAGCAACAUGUUAAUAAAGUGUCAAGGAGAGCUGCGGUUGAUCA
rnacentral:lncRNA from 1 species